rnacentral:lncRNA from 1 species
GAAAAAUUAAAAAAAGAAGAAGAAAGAUUGAAAAGAAAAAAUGCUUUUGGGUCCAAUUAGGCCAAGACCAGCGUUGAACCCAAGUUUUCACCCAAAUUACCCUAGCUCAUGCCCCUACCUAGCCUAAAACCAGAGAUGACUGAUUGCCCAUAUAUAAUUCUAUUGUAACAUCCACCCAAAAGCUUAAACCUAAUCUCGACAAAUCCCCAAACGGCCCUUUACCCAUCUCUAUCGCGCCUGUGUUUUCUAAGAAAUUGCCUACAACUCGUCUGAGUUUUAGACGAGUUCUUCCCCCAAACUCAUCGCACAUGGUCACCUAUUCCAUCCCCCUUCCAUGUCACCAACCCUAAUGGUCUCUGACAGAAAGAAUAUUCCUAAUCAACAACUACCCUCCCUCACUCGCCCGUUUGCAAGCAAUCACGCGUUAGAAGGCUCUAGAGGGCAUGUGUUGGAUGAGUGAGAGGCGUCGGAUCGGUUUCACUUAAUCCGAGCCUCACAUUCAUCAUAUGCUCAUUUUCAAAGGGGUUUUUAUCCUAUUUCUUGAGAAGGAAGAAAGAAUUUGGAGGUAAGGAUAUAUAUAAAGGAUUUUCGUGUAAAAGAAAAAAGAAAAAAAAAUUAAGAGGAGUUUGUAGAUCAGAAAUUCCUUUUUUUUUUCUAAAGAAAGUGGGGAUUUAUUUUAGUGUGGAUUUUCCAACUUUCUCUUCUUCUAAAUUCGUUCAUACAUGGAAAAAACAGAAAGAAAAUUUGUGAUUCUUUUUUCACUUUUGUUCUUUUUGUUUUUUCAGUUCCUGAUUUCUGUGUUUUUCUUUCGGAGUUAAUUUGAACUCGAGGUGGAUUUCGAUUGAAUACUAUUGAUUCCGAUUAUUUUUGGUUGUUGUUCGCCGAUUGGCGGUUUUGUUUGGUUUCCACAGUUUGGAGUUAGACAUCGAAAUUCUUAUUCACUGUCAUUUUUCUGAUUUUGUUUAAGUUUCAACUUACAGGUUCAUAUUCCCUGUUUAUUUUUUUAUUUAAUUAUGUCUGGAAUUGAUUUAUGUCUGAGCUAGCCGAAAAAUGAUGUCUGAAAUUGUGUUUAUCUCUUCUUGAUGCGAGUUACAUUUUUGUGUCUGAUUGUGUGUACCUAUUGAAUUAUUCUGCUGAAAUCUUUACAGAAUGAUAUUUAUAUUCUACUGUUUCCUUCAAAUAUUUCUUACUAAAAUGCUAAUUGGUUUGCUAGCUUUGAAUUCAUAGGCAUAGACGUUUUUUUUCUGUUGUUGUUUCUCUUUGGUAUAAUUAAUACAAAAUGUUGUUACUUUUUUUUACCAUUAUUUUUCUUGUUGCCGUCUAGUUGUUAUUUUUUAAUUAACAUCUGUUAGUUUCUUGUUUUGCGGUGAAUGAAAACUGAUGUCUUCUAAAUUCUAGGCGUGUUCUGUUGAAGAUUUUUUUUUUUGUAAUCUUGAUUUGCUAGUUUCUUGAGGUGAUACAAAUUGCUCUCUAAGAUCCAUUAUAGUUAUGAAAGUUAGUGAAAGUGCAAUACAUGGAUCUGCACUAUAACCUGUAGAAACAAGUUAGUUUACAAAGUUGGCCUUUGGUAAUCAAAAGAUCUUAAUUGGAAGUCACGUUUGCAUCUGCUGAUACAUCAAAGGAACCUUAAUUAGCUUUGCAGUAAUGUAAGCUAUUUGUCUAAAGUUGAUUUGCCCUAAGGCUAUUUUAGAAUCAAGUAAAGUAUUAUGUAUUUCUGUGGGUUGUCAUGGUUGAAAAUAGUACCAAAAUGGUACUAUAAGUUCUAGUCCAAAAAAAGGGGCGUUACUACUGGAAUACUACUUAUAUUCAUUUUAUGAAAGUUAGCUUGAGCUUUGUUUUCUUGUUAAAGGUUUGAAAAACAAUCAGUUUCUAAUUCGACAGAAGUUGAUUUGGGAUUUAAAAUCGUGAAUGGCCAGUAUCGUAUUUUGUUGGAUCCUUUGUUAUUCUAGUAUUCUUAGUCUUAUUUCGUGUGGGAUCGGGGGGAGUGAUAGAAAUGCCAAAGGUUAUUAACAAUUAAUUUAUUCCAUAUUUUAGGUAUCGGGCUUAGCCGGAUAAGAUAAAGGUUUAAAAGGGAAUGUUCAUGAAAUCUCUUUCUGGAAAGUAUUCCAUGAUCACGGGCCUUUCCACACACAAUUACCAAAUUAAGUAUUACAUGACUUAUAUACUCUCGUAUCUUGUUUAGGCGCAAAUAAUAAAUCACUUUGGCUAUGGAUACGGUUCCCGUGACAUGGUCACGACAUGUAAAUCCAAAUUCGGGCGCACAUUUCAUGUGACUUGGCUACAACUUUAAAUCUUUAAUAAUAAAAUAAACAUGUCGCAAACAACAGGUGUAUUUCAUGUAGCGUGGUUUACAAUGUGUUCUAAAACUAAUAAGUGUACGGCGAUCGUGAUUUAUUCUAUAAACAUUAAAAGUGGUUAAAAGAUUAAAAAUGCAUAAUAGGCUUUAGAUAUGUAUUAAAUUAGAUAAUUAGGUCAAUUAUUAAUAGUUGCACAAC